CCUACGGGGGACAGCAGUGAGGAAUAUUGGUCAAUGGGCGCGAGCCUGAACCAGCCAAGUCGCGUGAGGGAUGACGGUCCUACGGAUUGUAAACCUCUUUUGCCGGGGAGCAAGCGUGCGUUCGUGAACGCACGUCGAGAGUACCCGGAGAAAAAGCAUCGGCUAACUCCGUGCCAGCAGCCGCGGUGAUACGGGGGAUGCGAGCGUUAUCCGGAUUUAUUGGGUUUAAGGGGUGCGUAGGCGGGAUGCCAAGUCAGCGGUAAAAAUGCGGUGCUCAACGCCGUCGAGCCGUUGAAACUGGGUUUCUUGAGUGGGCGAGAGGUAUGCGGAAUGCGUUGUGUAGCGGUGAAAUGCAUAGAUAUCACGCAGAACGCCGAUUGCGAAGGCAGCAUACCGGCGCCCUACUGACGCUGAGGCACGAAAGCGUGGGUAGCGAACAGGAUUAGAUACCCGAGUAGUC
rnacentral:rRNA from 1 species